ACGUGCAUGGGAUAUUGGUACGGUUCAAUCAGAAAACCGGGUCUUAUUCGAGAGAGAUCUCUGUUUAUUUGAUUGAGCCGUGCCAAUAUCCCGUGUUAGAAA
rfam:Beta vulgaris subsp. vulgaris Bvchr8.sca004.con0118.1, whole genome shotgun sequence.